UGUGGGCCAAUUUCCAAUCUAGAACUGCGCAAGCUGCGCCCGCUCACUUGCAAUCCUUUCUAAAAUCUUCCUUAGGUACAACUUAUUCCUCGAAGCCAGCCAGAUGGAGGCUGGAAUGCUAGCUUCUAAGUGGUUUUCUAGCACGAGCAAACCAAUCAACCAUUAUUGAGAAAGUUAUAGUAUAAAUCCACCAAGAACGCACCAUUCUGACCAUGUUUCCACACCGAAAUGUGGA
rnacentral:lncRNA from 1 species